rnacentral:rRNA from 1 species
UUUAAUUGAAGAGUUUGAUCAUGGCUCAGAUUGAACGCUGGCGGCAGGCCUAACACAUGCAAGUCGAGCGGUAACAUUUCUAGCUUGCUAGAAGAUGACGAGCGGCGGACGGGUGAGUAAUGCUUGGGAACAUGCCUUGAGGUGGGGGACAACAGUUGGAAACGACUGCUAAUACCGC